GAUGAAGAACGUAGCGAAAUGCGAUAAGUAGUGUGAAUUGCAGAAGUACCGUGAAUCAUCGAAUCUUUGAACGCAAAUUGCACUCUCUGGUAUUCCGGGGAGUAUGCCUGUUUGAGGGUCGCUUAACAAACCAUCGAUUUCGUUGCUUUUUUUUUAAAAAGUGAUGUUUAUCGGAUUUGAGUCGUCUUUUUUUUUUAUAUUUAAGUGGCUUAAAAUUGAUUUUUUUGGUACGAUCGAAGCGUAUUUUUAUGAUCAAUUUUUGGUUAAAGAAACGCACACGUACCGUUAUUUAUAUGAUGUAAUACGUUUGACUAUUGGAUUUAGUUCAUUCGUAUACGAUAUUUUUCAAUAUUUGACCUCAAAUCAGGUAAGAACACCCGCUGAACUUAAGCAUAUCAAUAAGCGGAGGA
rnacentral:misc_RNA from 1 species